rnacentral:rRNA from 1 species
CUAUACAUGCAGUCGAACGCGUUGGCCCAAUUGAUUGAYGGUGCUUGCACCUGAUUGAUUUUGGUCGCCAACGAGUGGCGGACGGGUGAGUAACACGUAGGUAACCUGCCCAGAAGCGGGGGACAACAUUUGGAAACAGAUGCUAAUACCGCAUAACARCGUUGUUCGCAUGAACAACGCUUAAAAGAUGGCUUCUCGCUAUCACUUCUGGAUGGACCUGCGGUGCAUUAGCUUGUUGGUGGGGUAACGGCCUACCAAGGCGAUGAUGCAUAGCCGAGUUGAGAGACUGAUCGGCCACAAUGGGACUGAGACACGGCCCAUACUCCUACGGGAGGCAGCAGUAGGGAAUCUUCCACAAUGGGCGCAAGCCUGAUGGAGCAACACCGCGUGAGUGAAGAAGGGUUUCGGCUCGUAAAGCUCUGUUGUUAAAGAAGAACACGUAUGAGAGUAACUGUUCAURCGUUGACGGUAUUUAACCAGAAAGUCACGGCUAACUACGUGCCAGCAGCCGCGGUAAUACGUAGGUGGCAAGCGUUAUCCGGAUUUAUUGGGCGUAAAGAGAGUGCAGGCGGUUUUCUAAGUCUGAUGUGAAAGCCUUCGGCUUAACCGGAGAAGUGCAUCGGAAACUGGAUAACUUGAGUGCAGAAGAGGGUAGUGGAACUCCAUGUGUAGCGGUGGAAAUGCGUAGAUAUAUGGAAGAACACCAGUGGCGAAGGCGGCUACCUGGUCUGCAACUGACGCUGAGACUCGAAAGCAUGGGUAGCGAACAGGAUUAGAUACCCUGGUAGUCCAUGCC